UAUAUUUUGUCUUAGUUUUGUAACUAAAAUAGUUUGGCAGCAAGCGAAUCCAAUUGGGGGAAGGUGUGGUGUAAAGGAUGAUCCGCCUAAUAUUUGACUUUUGUAAUGUUGGUGUAUAUCUGGUUUGAUAUUAUUGCUUAAUAGCUUAAUUUGUGUAUUAUUAUUUAAGCCAAGUCUAUGUGCUGCGUACAAAAGGUUCUCAUGCGUUACAUUUAUAAUAUUCUCUUUGAAAUUGGAGGAGGUUUAGGACUCAGAAGUAAUGUAUAAUAAGUUUGUAUAUGUGAAAUUGGUUUAGCUUGGGUACAC
rnacentral:rRNA from 1 species